GCCAAACUGCAGAUAUGCCGACCUGUCGUGACAUUUCUAGGACAGAGGGUUUCCAGAAAGGGUCACUCCCUGACUGCUGACACCAGAGGUUGCAUCCUGAAUCACCCGAAGCCAACUACCACGGAGAAGGCUUCAGAACGCAGCUGCUUUGUGACUUGGAGGACGAACCAACCUUUUCUGAAUAAAACUUUUAAAAGGACGCCA